rnacentral:rRNA from 1 species
UACGAAGGGGGCUAGCGUUGCUCGGAAUCACUGGGCGUAAAGCGCACGUAGGCGGCUUUUAAGUCAGGGGUGAAAUCCUGGAGCUCAACUCCAGAACUGCCUUUGAUACUGAGAAGCUUGAGUCCGGGAGAGGUGAGUGGAACUGCGAGUGUAGAGGUGAAAUUCGUAGAUAUUCGCAAGAACACCAGUGGCGAAGGCGGCUCACUGGCCCGGUACUGACGCUGAGGUGCGAAAGCGUGGGGAGCAAACAGG